CUGUUGUCCCCGCUUUCGAGCCUCNGUGUCAGUUACAGGCCAGAGAGCCGCUUUCGCCACCGGUGUUCCUCCAUAUAUCUACGCAUUUCACCGCUACACAUGGAAUUCCACUCUCCUCUCCUGCACUCAAGUCUACCAGUUUCCAAUGCAUACAAUGGUUGAGCCACUGCCUUUUACACCAGACUUAAUAAACCACCUGCGCUCGCUUUACGCCCAAUAAAUCCGGACAACGCUCGGGACCUACGUAUUACCGCGGCUGCUGGCACGUAGUUAGCCGUCCCUUUCUGGGUAGUUACCGUCACUUGAUGAGCUUUCCACUCUCACCAACGUUCUUCUCUACCAACAGAGUUUUACGAUCCGAAAACCUUCUUCACUCACGCGGCGUUGCUCGGUCAGACUUUCGUCCAUUGCCGAAGAUUCCCUACUGCUGCCUCCCGUAGGAGUUUGGGCCGUGUCUCAGUCCCAAUGUGGCCGAUCACCCUCUCAGGUCGGCUAUGUAUCAUCGCCUUGGUGAGCCUUUACCUCACCAACUAGCUAAUACAACGCGGGAUCAUCUUUGAGUGAUGCAAUUGCAUCUUUCAAACUUAAAACUUGUGUUUAAAGUUUUUAUGCGGUAUUAGCAUUCGUUUCCAAAUGUUGUCCCCCGCUCAAAGGCAGAUUCCCCACGCGUUACUCACCCGUUCGCUGCUCAUCCAGUCGGUACAAGUACCAACCUUCAGCGCUCAACUUGCAUGUAUUAGGCACGCCGCCAGCGUUCGUCCUGAGCAGR
rnacentral:rRNA from 1 species